rnacentral:rRNA from 1 species
AUUGAACGCUGGCGGCAUGCCUUACACAUGCAAGUCGAACGGUAACGGGUCCUUUGGGAUGCCGACGAGUGGCGAACGGGUGAGUAAUACAUCGGAACGCGCCCAGUAGCGGGGGAUAACUGAUCGAAAGAGCAGCUAAUACCGCAUACGACCUGAGGGUGGAAGGGGGGGAUCGCAAGACCUCACGCUAUUGGAGGGGCCGAUAUCGGAUUAGCUAGUUGGUGGGGUAAAGGCCCACCAAGGCAACGAUCUGUAGUUGGUCUGAGAGGACGACCAGCCACACUGGGACUGAGACACGGCCCCGACUCCUACGGGAGGCAGCAGUGGGGAAUUUUGGACAAAGGGCGCAAGCCUGAUCCAGCAAUGCCGCGUGCAGGAAGAAGGCCUUCGGGUUGUAAACUGCUUUUGUCAGGGAAGAAAUCUUCUGGGCUAAUACCCCGGGAGGAUGACGGUACCUGAAGAAUAAGCACCGGCUAACUACGUGCCAGCCGCCGCGGUAA